CCUACGGGCGGCUGCAGUGGGGAAUAUUGGACAAUGGGCGAAAGCCUGAUCCAGCCAUGCCGCGUGUGUGAAGAAGGCCUUCGGGUUGUAAAGCACUUUCAGUGGGGAAGAAAGCCUUGGGGCUAAUACCCUCGAGGAAGGACAUCACCCACAGAAGAAGCACCGGCUAACUCCGUGCCAGCAGCCGCGGUAAUACGGAGGGUGCGAGCGUUAAUCGGAAUUACUGGGCGUAAAGCGCCCGUAGGCGGUCUGAUAAGCCGGUUGUGAAAGCCCCGGGCUCAACCUGGGAACGGCAUCCGGAACUGUCAGGCUAGAGUGCAGGAGAGGAAGGUAGAAUUCCCGGUGUAGCGGUGAAAUGCGUAGAGAUCGGGAGGAAUACCAGUGGCGAAGGCGGCCUUCUGGACUGACACUGACGCUGAGGUGCGAAAGCGUGGGUAGCAAACAGGAUUAGAUACCCGGGUAGUC
rnacentral:rRNA from 1 species